rnacentral:rRNA from 1 species
AGUGGAUGGGGAGCAACCUAUGUUGUGCGUGUGUAAAGGUAGUGCCAAGAAAAGCGAUGAUCAUGUUGAAAAUCAAUUCCCGGUACCCGAAACCGACACAGGUGGGCAAGUAGAGAAUACUAAGGGGCGCGAGGUAACUCUCUCCAAGGAACUCGGCAAAAUGACCCCGUAACUUAGGGAGAAGGGGUGCCACCGAGAGGUGGUCGCAGUGAAGAGGCCCAGGCGACUGUUUAGCAAAAACAUAGGUCUCUGCAAACUCGAAAGAGGAGGUAUAGGGGCUGACGCCUGCCCAGUGCCGGAAGGUUAAAGAAGUUGGUCAGUUUUAGGAUGAAGCUAGCGACUGAAGCCCCGGUGAACGGCGGCCGUAACUAUAACGGUCCUAAGGUAGCGAAAUUCCUUGUCGGGUAAGUUCCGACCCGCACGAAAGGCGUAACGAUCUGGGCGCUGUCUCGGAGAGAGGCUCGGCGAAAUAGGAUUGUCUGUGAAGAUACGGACUACCUGCAUUUGGACAGAAAGACCCUAUGAAGCUUUACUAUAGCUUGGAAUUGUGUUCGGGCUUCCUGUGCGCAGGAUAGGUGGGAGGCGUAGAAGGUAUUCUUGUGGGGAUACUGGAGCCAACGGUGAGAUACCACUCUCAGGAGGCUAGAAUUCUAACUUAAUUAAGGACAGUUUCAGGUGGGUAGUUUGACUGGGGCGGUCGCCUCCAAAGAGGUAACGGAGGCGUACAAAGGUUCCCUCAGACUGGUUGGAAAUCAGUCGAAGAGUGCAAAGGCAGAAGGGAGCUUGACUGCGAGAAGUACAGUUCGAGCAGGGUGGAAACACGGUCUUAGUGAUCCGACGGUGCUGUGCAAGGGCCGUCGUUCAACGGAUAAAAGUUACUCUAAGGAUAACAGGCUGAUCUCCCCCAAGAGUUCACAUCGACGGGGAGGUUUGGCACCUCGAUGUCGGCUCAUCGCAACCUGGGGCGGAAGUACGUCCCAAGGGUUGGGCUGUUCGCCCAUUAAAGCGGUACGUGAGCUGGGUUCAGAACGUCGUGAGACAGUUCGGUCCAUAUCCGAUGUAGGCGUGAGAAUAUUGAGAGGAGCCUUCCUUAGUACGAGAGGACCGGGAAGGACGCACCGCUGGUGUACCUGUUAUGAUGCCAAUUGUAAACGCAGGGUAGCCAAGUGCGGAGAGGAUAACCGCUGAAAGCAUCUAAGUGGGAAGCCCACCUCAAGAUGAGUAUUCUGGUGUAAGGUCACGGGAAGACGACCCGUAAAUAGGCACGAGGUGGAAGUGCAGAGAUGUAUGAAGCCGAAGUGUACUAAUAGACCGUCGGC